UCCAUGUUGCUGUUCCAAAUGUUCCAAGUGUGGAUGUUCUCCGUGUUGCUGUCCCAAAUGUUCCAAGUGUGGAUGUUCUCCUUGCUGCUGUCCUAAAUGUUCCAAGUGUGGAUGUUCUCCAUGUUGCUGUCCCAAAUGUUCCAAGUGUGGAUGCUCUCCAUGCUGCUGUCCCAAGUCUCCAUGCUCCAACUGUGAAUCUUCUCCCUGUUGCUGCUAUACCCAUGUCAAGUAUUCCAUCUAUGUGCCCUGCUGCUGUCCUCGUUGUGUGUGUGCCCGAAGCGCCUUGAACCGAUCAUGCUGCCUCCCCUGUUAUCGUGGUCAAUGCUAUUACAAUUACAGUCCCUGCUGUUGCUAUGGCCACUCUUGUGGUUGUGGCAUUUAUUAAUCCAACUGUUGAUCUAACUCAUCCUAAGGAAGUUCUGGAGAUGAUAAGAAUAAGAAUAAAACCUACUCGCAGCUAAUUCCUGGAAAGUAAACCUAGCAGAUGUAGCCUAUGCAACAUCUGGACCAUCAACAUGAAAAACCGGUUUCUCUUCCUAGACUCAUCCACUAAUUUCAAUGUCUACGUUGUGUGCCUCCUUCAAGAAAAGAAAGAUUAUUCUCUUGCAAAAUUCUGGGGAAACUCUCCAAUGAACAUGAAAGAGUUUUUGAGUUUUCAUAAUAGUUAACAUGCUUCUUUUCUUCUUGGUGAUUUGGGAUUCUGUAAUGUCUUCUACUUGUGUAGCAACUCUCAUCAUUAAAAUUAUAAAAUUAUGGUGCUUCUGCAUGUGGUGAUUUGUUCUCUGCUCCUUAGUUUAUAUCUUCAUCUCUUUUUUCUAUAUUUUAGAAUUUCUUAUCCUGUCAUAUAUUUUAGAUACAACACAAACACAUAUUGUAUAUUUUGAGACAAGACAUUCACAUUUGUCUGAGACAGUCUCAGUUACUCCACUGUCAUUCCAUUUUCCUGACCGAAUCUAAAAUGUUCCAGGGUACAUCUACACCAGCGAUUCUCAAAGUGUGCUCCAUGUAGCCCUUAGGGCUUCAAAAAGUGCUCUGUGGCUGAAAAAGUUUGAGAACCUCUGAUCUACACCAUAGAAUGAAUGCAGUUUGACACCCACAUUGUCAUGACUCAUUGGUGUGGAAUUCUGAGAGCUGUAGUUCCACAAGUUCCUUCACCUUAUCCUGACAAAGAGUGCUGGUGACUCACUCAGCAACAACUCUCAGGAUUCCAUAACUUUGAGCCAUGGUAGUUAACUUGGUAUCAAACUACAUUCAUUAUACAAUGCACCUCUAGGUUCUCCCAUAUAUUUUGAUCCUUAACUUACUUAAAUUGAUAUCAAUGGGUUCAACAAGCAAGUCAUUCAAUAAAUUUAGUAGGCAAUUGAUGAGAUAAUGAAAUCUUACCCUUCCCAGUUGGCUCAAGUCAAAUCCAACUGUUGCAGCCUCUCUUAGCUGUCUUUCUUCAUCCAUAACUUUGGCCAUCUUGACAUUGUUUGACCAUAUGGGCCUCAGCUUUCAUCUGUGAAUGGAAACAAUUUGGAACAAAUCCAUGUUUCUCAAGGACAAUGACGUCCCUUCAUGCAAGAUGAACUUGCAUGCCCCUCAGGAUUCUUUUUUGUUUGAACCUCUUAGUUAAACAACAAUGGAUGAAAUUAUAACGUAAAAUAGCAACUGUGGAAGAGGAGUCUAUCUCACAAGGAAACAGAACGUCUUAUGGUGUUCACCAGAAGUCUUGUGUUCAUGAAGGAGUUCAAGUCUUGAGCUCCCAUUUGGGUCUUGAAUCCCUGUCCAGAUCUCGCAUCCCCAUCCAGUAAGAUUCCAUCCCAGUGAAGAAGAGCCAAAGAAACACCAAAAAGACUUAUUUAACAAGGAAACAGAUAUUCUUAUGGUGACCACCAGAAUUAUUGUGUUCAUAAAGAGGUCCAGGUCUGGACCUUGUCCAAAUCUUGCAUCCACAUCCAGUAAGAUUCCAUCCCAGUGAAGAAGAGCCAAAGAAACACCUAAGGGACCUAUUUCACAAGGAAACAGAUCUUCUUAUGGUGGCCACCAGAAUUAUUGUGUUCAUAAAGAGGUCCAGGUCUUGAAUCCCUGUCCAAAUCUUGCAUCGCCAUCCAUUAUGAUUCCAUCCCAGUGAAAAAGAACCAAACAAACACCAAAGGGACCUUUUCCACAAAGAAACAAAUCUCCUUAUGGUGGCCACCAGAAUUAUUGUGUUCAUAAAGAGGUCCAGGUCUUGAAUCCCUGUCCAAAUCUUGCAUCCACAUCCAGUAAGAUUCCAUCCCAAUGAAGAAGAGCCAAAGAAACUCCAAAGGGACCUAUUUUACAAGGAAACAGAUCCUCUUAUGGUGGCCACUAGGAUCCUUGUCUCCUUGAAUGUCUUGAUUCUCCAUCCACAUCUUGCAUCUCCAUCCAAGAAGCUUCCGUCCCUGUGAAGAAGAGCCAAAGAAACGCCAAGGCUUCAAUCCCCUUGUUAGUCCAAACUACAGGAAAGAGAACAAAUCUUCUUAUGGUGGCCACCAGGAUUAUUGUGUUUAUAAAGAGGUCCAGGUCUUGAAUCCCUGUCCAAAUCUUGCAUCCACAUCCAGUAAGAUUCUAUCCCAGUGAAAAAGAGGCAAAGAAACACCUAAGGGACCUAUUUCACAAGGAAACAAAUCUCCUUAUGGUGGCCACCAGAAUUAUUGUGUCCAUAAAGGGGUCCAGCUCUUGAAUCCCUGUCCAGAUCUUGCAUCCACAUCCAAUAAGGUUCCAUCCAGUGAAGAAGAGCCAAAGAAACUCCAAAGGGACCUAUUUCACAAGAAACACAUCCUCUUAUGGUGGACACUAGGAUUCUUGUUUCUGUGAAGGUCUUGAUUCUCCAUCCAGAUCUCGCAUCUCCAUCCAAGAAGCUUCCAUCCCUGGGAAGAAGAGCCAAAGAAACAGCAAGGCCUUGUUAGUUUAAGCUAAGGUAUCCAGGAUACCUUAGAAACUGCUUUUGCUGAAAUCCUGUUGGUUAUUACUGUUAUUGAGUCAAUUACAAAUAAAUCCAUCUGAUUCAAUUCAUUUGUAUGUUGACUCAAUACCAGUAAUAACCAACAGGAUGAGCUUUUGGCAUGGAAGAUCUCUAAAGUAUCCUGGAAGUUUCAAACUCAACCACUGGGAGGAGUCGACUCUCAUGAACACCUCCUUAUUGAAGGCCUACUAGUUUAUCUCCAACAUGUAUCUUAACAAAUUUUACACCUGUUGCUUUCCCUGUUCUAAUUGCAUGUUGUCUCUGACUUCUCCAGGAACCCGGGAUUAAUCAUUUUUUAAUAACUGAUGGAGCUGUCAACAUUGUCUUGGUUUCAGACAGCCGACAAAAUAAGAAGCAAUUAAAAACCUUUUCUUUUCAGCACUUUGGUGAUGCUUUAUUGUGGGUGUACUUUGCAGACCUAAAUCCGUUUCAUCAUUGUGCUUCCUGUCCAACCACUCUAGUCCUCAGGAUGUCCUUCUGAAAUUUUAGGUGGAACCUCUUUUUCUGUCAUUUGAAUCCCUUGUUCCAUUGCGUCUUAGCUUUUGGAGCAGCAGAAUAUAAGCUUGCGUUUCCUCAAGAUGAUCUCUUUUCAAAUAUUUAAACACGGUUGUCAUGUCCCAUUCUAUCAACCUUUACUUUUCCAAACUAAACAGAUCUAGCUCCCCAAGCCACUCCUCAGAGGGAUUCAUAGCUUCCAGACCUUUGCCCAUCUUGAAGACCCUCCUCUGAACACCGUCCAGAUUGCCAAUAUACUUCUUAAAUUCAGAUGCUCAGAAACAGACACAGAAUUAUUCCAAAUGAAGUCAGAUCAAAACAUAACAUAAUGGGUUGCUGUAAGCUUUCCGGGAUGUUCCAGAAGCAUUGUCUCCUGACGUUUCACCCACAUCUAUGUCAAACUUCAUCAGCCAAGCUUUGAAGCUGUAAGACCAUUAAAUGCUAAUCAAGGGAGCCAAUUGCAACAUUCACACUUGCCUCAAAUAGAGUUCUUUCUCCCACCCUGGACAAUCCCA
ensembl:lncRNA